UACGGAGGGUGCAAGCGUUAAUCGGAAUUACUGGGCGUAAAGCGCGCGUAGGUGGUUAGGUAAGUCAGAUGUGAAAGCCCCGGGCUUAACCUGGGAACUGCAUUUGAUACUGCCUGGCUAGAGUAUGGUAGAGGGGGGUGGAAUUCCCGGAGUAGCGGUGAAAUGCGUAGAUAUCGGGAGGAACACCAGUGGCGAAGGCGGCCCCCUGGACCAAUACUGACGCUGAGGUGCGAAAGCGUGGGGAGCAAACAGG
rnacentral:rRNA from 1 species